rnacentral:lncRNA from 1 species
AGGGUAUUCAGCACACCUGCUCCAGCCAGCCAAACCCAGGACACCUCCUCAGGCUUCUGGGUCGAUUUCUCCAUCAUCUGGGCACGACCCUGUCUCAUCCAGCCAGACUAGGAGAAAGAGGGGAUGGACACCUGGAUGCACCCUGCCCCCACCACACCAAGCCCCGUUUCCCUGGGAACUGCAGGGCUGGGGCCUCUGGGAUUCCUUGCUUUCUGGUGCUGCCAGAGGCUGAGAUGGGACCCAGCCCAGUGAUGCUGGAUCCUUCUGGGUGAAUCGGACCCCGGAACUGCUUCAGUUUAAGAGGAACCCCUCCCAGCGUUCAGGAACCUCCCUGGGGCUCGGACUUUGUAGAGUAACCCUGUGUCUCCCCUAUGCCCCCACUGGUCCUGGGAGCAGGGAAGGUGGUAUGAUCCCAUUUUAUAGGUGAGGACACAGGCUCAGAGAGGGAAGAGACUUUGACAGCCGAGCUAAGGACCUGCGCCUCUGUCCGCCCACACUGGGCUCUCUGAUUAGACAGUACUGGGGUGCAGGAGGCGCACUGCAGCAGGAGCCCAGCUCUUCUCCCACCUUGCUGUGUGUCCCUGGGCGAGGCACUGUCCCUCUCUGGACCUGUUUGUUUCCCCAUUUCUAAACUAGAGAUAAGGGUUGGAAUGAGAAUUAAAUGAGAUUUGUGAAAAGCAUUUAGCCUGGUGCCAGGCACUUGGAAAGGUCACAGAGGAAUGCGCCCCAUUGCACCCACCAUGGCUCCACCCAGCACCUGCACUGGCCCAACCCAGAGGGGCCUGACAGCUUUCUCCCAGUCACUCGCUCUGCUGGGCAAGUGGAGACCCAAGCUCAGGACAUCUGGAAGGGUCUAUGGAUUCCCCCUCCCAGACAGCCUUCCAUGCACACUACACCAGCCUCAUGGGUGCCUUGUCCCCUGCAUGGGCCCAGCGAGACCCAUGUCAUGAUGGCUGUCAGCUAACUGAUGCCACUUGCGGGGAGGACAUCCGGCCUGGGGGCCACGGGGUGAAGUGCAGAUCACACAGCCUGGGGCUGCAUGCCUGCGGCACCCGUGACUAGCACAUGGCAAGUGUCUCAGCCUCUCUCAACCUUAGUUUACCCCUGUCUAAAAUGGGGGUGUGGUGGCUCAUGCCUGUAAUCCCAGCACUUUGGGAGGCCCAGGUGGGCAGAUCACCUGAGGUCAGGAGUUUGAGACCAGCCUGGCCAACACAACGAAACCCCAUUUCUACUAAAAUACAAAAAUUAGCUGGGCGUGGUGGCAGGUGCCUGUAAUCCCAGCUACUCAGGAGGCUGAGGCAGAACAAUCACUUGAAUGAAGGAGGUGGAGGUUGCAGUGAGCUGAGAGUGCACCACAGCACUCCAGCCUGGGUGACAAAGCAACACUCCAUCUCAAAAAAAUAAAUAAAUACAAAUAAUAAAAUGGGGAUGAAAUCUGUACUUAACUCUGAACUCUGAGAAUUCCUGUAAGAACUAAAUAAGAAAAUCCAUUUGUUACGCUCAGUACAGUGCUACCUAUCAUGACCAUCCCCAAUGUUAUUAUUAUUAUUAUUAUUAUUAUUAUUAUUAUUCAUAGCAGCAGCCUCAGCACCCGGCAUAGGCCCAGCUCAGUAAAUCUCUGCUCAAUGAAUACAUGAACAAUUUGUCCCACCAGCUCCAGAGGUAUCACAGAGAGGCAGGUAGGGCUGCCGAUUUGGGCCUCUGUCUCCCACCUCCUCACCCUCUCCCUGGGAAGAACUCUAUUUCCUCGCCGCUCCCAGCAGUGAGCUGCAUCUGGAAGGCCCAGGGUCCGGCCCCAGCCUGGGCACGAGCUGUGUUUCCAAGUCUGUCCUGUCCGGCCAAACUGCAGCGGCCAACAAGAUGGAGCAGCGGUCCUCCCGCUGGCAGGGGAAGGAGCAUCCAUCAAUUACCUUGGCUGGCCGGAGCCGCGGCGUGGCGGGCCAGCCCGGCCCCAUCCAUCAAGCGUCCUGGCUGCUGGCAGGGGCUGUCUACUAAUUACUUAACACGCCGCGUCGUGCUGAGGCUGGCGCCGUGGCAGGGGGCUCACGGUGCAGUGUACACAGGUCUGACCAUAAAUGUUUAACGAACCCAGUGGGAGGUGGGGACGCAAGCUAGGCCCCGUGGCCAGGAAGGACGCCCCUGAGAGCUGUCUCCACCGGGCCCCCACAGCCGACCCGGCUUGGCGGUGGAGGGGACGGCCUCACCUGUGCUCCCCAAGUCCCUCGGCAGCAUCAUGCCCGUGGGGGUGGGGGGCGUGAUGAUGAUGUCGGGCACGUCCAGGUGCUUGUCGUUCAGGACGGGGGCCUCGUCGUGGCUGCUGCUGCUGCUGCUGACACACAUUUGAAAGCCUGAGAAGCCAGGCGUGGAGCACACACGCACGUACACACGACAGAGAGACAGGCAUCAGUGGCCGCCGGGAACCGCGGGCGCCACCCUCCCUUCACUAUCACCUGGGUCCUGACGCCUCGCAGCAAGGAGCGCAGCUGUCCCCGCAUCACAGAUGAAAACCGGCGUCUCAGGAAUGAAAAAGGAGCCCUUGUCACAUCUCACAGAACCAUGAGUCGGGAAACAGAUUUUGGGAAAUGCUGAUCAUAGGCUAGUUGGCCUCUGGGUCCAGUUGUCAGCCUUUACCAUGUGGCCCAGCCAGCUGCAGCCUCAUUCCCGGCCACCAGCCCCCACUCUCCACAGCGCUCCAGCCUCCACUCUCCAAAGUGCUCACACUUCCCCAGACUCCCUAGGCUCCUGGGGCCCCUUCGUGCCUUUGCAUAUGCUGCUCCCCCCGCCUGGGAUGCUCUUUCUUCCUCUGCCUGAGUAACAAGCUCCUGCUUAUCCUUCAAAGCCCAGUGCAACGGGCUCUUCCUUGGGAAAGGUGUCCCAGCAGAUCUGGCUGCUCCCUCUUUUGCCCAUCUGCACUCACUCAUUCAUCAAUGAAUGACAUGAUUUAUUUUUACUUCUGCCUCUCUUUGCUGUGAACACCUGGAGGACAGUCUCUAUUUCAUUCAUCUGUGUUUCCCUUGAGCCUAGCGCAUGCUCGAGACAGAGUAAGUAGGAGUGCUUUAAAUUUCAAAUGCCAGCCGGGCGCGGUGGCUCAUGCCUGUAAUGCCAGCACUUUCGGAGGCCAAGGCGGGCAGAUCACUUGAGGUCAGGAGUUCAAGACCAGCCUGGCCAACAUGGUGAAACCCCCAUCUCUACUAAAAUACGAAAAUUAGCCCGGUGUGGUGGCACACACCUGUAAUCCCAGCUACUCAGGAGCUGAAGCAGGAGGAGAAUCACUUAAACCCGGGAGGCAGAGGUUGAAGUAGGCUGAGAUCACACCAUUGCACUUCAGCCUAAAUGACAGAGUAAGACUCCAUCUUAAAAAAAAAAAAAAAAAGGCUGGGCGUGGUGGCUCAUACCUGUAAUCCCAGCACUUUGGAAGGCUGAAGUGGGCAGAUCACCUAAGGUCAGGAGUUGGAGACCAGCCUGACCAACACGGAGAAACCCCGUCUCCACUGAAAAUACAAAAAA